UACGUAGGGGGCAAGCGUUGUCCGGAUUUACUGGGCGUAAAGAGCACGCAGGCGGUUCGUUAAGUCGGUUGUGAAAUCCCACGGCCCAACUGUGGGGGGUCGACCGAAACUGGCGGACUUGAGGGAGGCAGAGGGAAGCGGAAUUCCCGGAGUAGUGGUGAAAUGCGUAGAUACCGGGAGGAACACCAGUGGCGAAAGCGGCUUCCUGGGCUUUUCCUGACGCUGAGGUGCGAAGGCGUGGGGAGCGAACCGG
rnacentral:rRNA from 1 species